CCAAGGAAAAUUUUAUGACGA
rnacentral:miRNA from 1 species